UUUUUUUAUUUAAACCAAAUUCAUUAAUUCCCAUUGUCUUUCUUUAGAGUGGAAAAGCAGAUAAUCCAUAACAUCAUGCGAACAGCCCAACUGGAAACUGGAGACUCCAUACAAUACUACCUGAAAACCUUGUUUCUGAAUGUGGUAAACCUCAGUGAUGCUGAACUAAACUCCACAGAAGAUGACUCCACCAUUCAGAUAAAAGCUCCACAGGUAAACAAGCUGUGGUGAAGAUGGUGCUGAUGAAUUUAGAAGGGACAGUGAUGAUUAAGAUAGCAUGAUGCUGAAUAUGUUAAUGUAUUUGUUACGUUAGGCUGACAUGACUUUAGGCAGUGCUCAGUCAAUUUUCUGCCCUAGUUUGACAUCAUCUACUUUUAUGCCUAGCUGCCUCAGAACAAGUCAUUUGUCCCCGACAUUUGGCUGCCAGUGUUUGACCUGCGCACCAUCCCAAAGGACGGGAGGAUUAUUGGUCUGGUCACCUACAUGUCGGACAGCCAAUUCCAAGUAUAUAUUUAUCCUAUUUACUUUUGCAUUGACACCCUCAUGUUUCAAUCUGUAAUUUAAAUUUAAAGGUCCAGUGUGUAACGUUUAGGGGGGAUCUUUUGGCAUAAAUAGAAUAUAAUAGUUCUGUUUUCAUUAGUGUAUAGUGUUUUUGUUACCUUAGAACACCUCCUCCUACACACUUCACGUUGUAUUCCCAGGUUGUCAAUUACAGAUACAAGCUGUGUUUAGUUAUUUGAAAUCUGCAACUUCACCACUAGAUGCCACUAAAUCUUACACACUGGUCCAUUUAGCCAUGGUCAUAAAUGUUUGCAGAUUCUUCGGCCAUUACAUAUAUACUGUAUAUACACUGUGUUAUUCCUCUGUUUAUCAUUUUUGUGCUGAAACUUUCUCCUCAUUAGUUUGAACAAGAACAUUUCUCAUCAAUGGUCAUCAGGAUAGAGCUACUGGGGAAGAAACGGCUUCAUAAUCUGAAAACGCCCAUCACAAUGAUUUUCCAAACCUUUACAAUCGCAGAUAUGGACAAUGACUCAUGGUUAGAGUGUCGCUACUUUGAUGAACAUGAUUAUGUCUGGAAAACAGAUGGAUGUGAGACAUACAACAGAACCAAUAGUAGCCAAACUGACAUUAUUUGCAACUGUGACCAUACAACACCAUUUGCUGUCCUAAUGGUAAGGUGAUACAUUGAUAAGGAGACAAUGACUUGUUCCUGAUGAUAAAUCAACCAGUUAGUCGAGUAUUUAUUCAUUUGGCACCUUUAAAACAAGAAGGAAAAAACAACAACAAAUGAUUAUUCAGCACUGGUACAAAACUGGUAUAACUCUAUAUGAGAAAUGACUUUUUUUCUAGAUGUUGG
rnacentral:lncRNA from 15 species